rnacentral:rRNA from 1 species
UAGUCCACGCCGUAAACGAUGUCUACUCGGAAUUUGGUGUCUUGAACACUGGGUUCUCAAGCUAACGCAUUAAGUAGACCGCCUGGGGAGUACGGCCGCAAGGUUAAAACUCAAAUGAAUUGACGGGGCCCGCACAAGCGGUGGAGCAUGUGGUUUAAUUCGAUGCUACGCGAAGAACCUUACCUGGGCUUGACAUCCCGGGCUACCCUGUGAAAGCAGGGGUUCCCUUCGGGGACCCGGUGACAGGUGCUGCAUGGCUGUCGUCAGCUCGUGUUGUGAGAUGUUGGGUUAAGUCCCGCAACGAGCGCAACCCUCGCCCUUAGUUACCAGCAUUUAGUUGGGCACUCUAAGGGGACCGCUUGGCUAUAAGCCAGAGGAAGGUGGGGAUGACGUCAAGUCCUCAUGGCCUUUAUGUCCAGGGGCUACACACGUGCUACAAUGGGAAAGGACAAAGCGCAGCUAACUCGCGAGAGUGUGCUAAUCGACUAAAAACCUUUUC